GGAGAUGUCAUCAGGGAGGUUCCCGAUGGGAAUGUGGUAAUAUCUGCUCAUCUCAAAGGCCUGCGACAGGCAUGUGUCCAGGUUGAGGUAAUGGCGGAUCAUGCGUCGGGCUGCGUGGCGCUGCCAGUCCAGGACCGAGUAGCUGAUGUCAUCUGUCACCCGGAUGGGGACCAGGGGGAACUCGUCGAGGAUGGGAAUACCGCUCGCCAGCCGCUUCAGCUCCCAGUUGGACUGCACAGCGAUCAGCGUGGGACCCCGGCGC
rnacentral:lncRNA from 1 species